UUGAUGGCAACAACAAGUCCUGAAGCAAACAUCCAGCAGCAUAUGGAGGAAAAUGAGAAACAUAAGCAUGGUACUUGCAAAUCUUUGAAUUUACUUUCUUGAAGUUUCCAGGGACUGUGGGUCAUCUGGCAACCUCAAGAAAUCUAUGCCCCAUGGAACACUGUAAAACAUGGACAAUCCCUGAAUCUUCAGCACAUCCCUUUCAGAUGAGGAAACUGAAACACCAAGAGAAUAAGAAACUUGCCCAAGGGGCUAUAGCUAUCAAAUGCCAGCACUGGGCUAUGAACUCUGGCUGGCAACUUUCAGAAACUUAGUUUUAAUCAAUGUACUACUCUAAAUUUUAUCAGAGGAAGUCAUAUCUAGAACCAUUUCCUCAACUUCAUGGUGUUUUUGAUCUAGUGGUUUAUAACAAAUUCCCAAAAUAAAUUUGGAUCCGUUGUAACAUCCAAUUUCUUGCCA